rnacentral:lncRNA from 10 species
CUUUGCUCACUGGUAGAUCAGUGCCUCUUAAUUUUUUUCCUUCUUGCCAGUCUCCAAUGCUACCACCAAGGCUCUCUUGCUUUUUUUCUUUCCCCUCUCUCUCUACUCUUUUAAUUAAAUCCUAACUCAUCUCUCUGCUUCCAACCCUGCCUCUGCAUUAGUCAGUGCUUCUUAACAGGGGCAGGGCACACUCCUUGGAUUGUGGGAGUGGAAAAUUGAUUGGAUAUUGGUCACCACCAUAAUUGGAGAGGUACUGCUGCCGUUUAGUGUACAGAGGCCGCAGAGGUUAGAGACGCAGCAACGCAUGGCUAUUCAGCCACGGACGUCAAAUGCCUGCCAGACAUUUAGAGCUACCCUGUCUAGCAGAACCAUGUCCCAUUUGACAGAUGAGUGAACCAAGCCUUAAAUGGGAAGAAGAAGAAGGCGGAGGAGAAGGAGGAGGAAAGAAGAAGAAGAAAGAGGAGGAGGAAGAGGAGAAGGGGAGGAGGAAGAAGAGGAGCAGCUGACAAAGUUCCCAUAGUGGAAUGUGGAAGACCUUGGUUUCAAAUUUAGUCGUCUAACUCCAAAUCAGUGUAUUUUACUGGGCUGUAGCUUAAUAAAUACAAGAAGCUACCCUCUCUCCUUGAGAAAUACUCCCUAGGCUGUGGCUCAUUUUAGAGAGUAAGAAGUGUUUAGAUAGGAUAACAGAGAUAAUUUACAAAGGGCAAAAGGAAGACUAUGAUUCAGGAGCAGACGAAUGAGAAUCAGAACCAUUGUCAAGAAUUAGGCCCAGUGAAAAAAUGGGACAUGUAAAAGAGAGAGAAAGAAAGUCCAAAAUGUCUGAGCAAUGUAACAGGCCUGCCAUUUAUCUCACUUCUGAAUAUCAGAAAAGGCAGCAUUUGUUGUCCACAGAAAAAUACAUGGGAUUUAUAGACACUGCCAGGCUCAAGGACCAGUGACACAACUCCCACCGCAGAGAGCCCUGUGGGGUGCUUUCCAGUGGCCACUGGUGGAGUGGGCAGAGUCCUCGGGGAACCAGAGGCCUGCUAUGCAUCUGGAGAGCUGCUUGCUCAGGAUGUCAUGGCUAAACUCCUUGAUCUCUUGGCAGCGUGUGGCCCCGUGAAAUGUGCUUCUUCUUUUUGAAAAGGCCUCUUUUUUUGGAAGUCAAGUCACCACACCAUUUAGAUUCCCCAUACUUCUGGACAGCAUCUUCCCAAGUGCUUUCCCCAACUUGUGGUCAACCCUGUCUUAUACCUCAUCUCGAUCUCUGUCAAUCAACACUAUUCACCCCUCAAGACACGCUUCGACUGACUGCCCCCGCAACCCUUCCAUGGAGUCCUGUCUUUUGGUCGUCCCAGUGAGAAGGGAUCUCUCUCUUCUGAAUGCCUGUAAUGUUUUGUGUCUCCUAUAGCACAUUGAACACACUGCCUUCUGAUAUAGUUGGGUGUCAACAUAUGGUAUCCUCCCUACAAGGGAUUAGCUUGUUUCUAAGACCUUAGUCUUUUUAUUAGACCAAUUUACUUGAUAGAUGAAAAGACUCAUAGAAGUCAUCUAAAUCAAUGUGCCCAUGUUGUAGAUGAGGAAAUGAGCCCUAGAGAGCUGACAUAGUCUAAACAAAUUCGCACAUUCUCCUCUCGCUAGGCUAGAGGAGAGCUGGAAUUCAUUUGCACCCUGAAAUCAGGGACGUGCUUGCCCAGAAUGAGGACAGAAAAGGUUGAAGGAAUGAAUGAUUCUGACAAAUCCCCUAGACCUGCCAUCCCACUGUCAAAAGUGGUUCUGCCAGAGACACAGACAAUGAGUAGGGGAUCCUCAAGUCAACCUCAUCCCAGAGAUAACCAUCUCACUUAGCAUGCGUCCGGGUGGCACCAUCAGCAGCACACAGUAUCUGUUCCCAUCCAAAGAGCUUUUCACGAGGAGCUCGUUCUGAGCUUCUUGAUAAGCAACUGGGUAGUGGUGCUAUUUUUAAUCAGCUGACCAGGGAUGAAAG